AGCGUACACGGUGGAUGCCCUGGCAGUCAGAGGCGAUGAAGGACGUGCUAAUCUGCGAUAAGCGUCGGUAAGGUGAUAUGAACCGUUAUAACCGGCGAUUUCCGAAUGGGGAAACCCAGUGUGAUUCGUCACACUAUCAUUAACUGAAUCCAUAGGUUAAUGAGGCGAACCGGGGGAACUGAAACAUCUAAGUACCCCGAGGAAAAGAAAUCAACCGAGAUUCCCCCAGUAGCGGCGAGCGAACGGGGAGGAGCCCAGAGCCUGAAUCAGUGUGUGUGUUAGUGGAAGCGUCUGGAAAGGCGCGCGAUACAGGGUGACAGCCCCGUACACAAAAAUGCACAUGCUGUGAGCUCGAUGAGUAGGGCGGGACACGUGGUAUCCUGUCUGAAUAUGGGGGGACCAUCCUCCAAGGCUAAAUACUCCUGACUGACCGAUAGUGAACCAGUACCGUGAGGGAAAGGCGAAAAGAACCCCGGCGAGGGGAGUGAAAAAGAACCUGAAACCGUGUACGUACAAGCAGUGGGAGCACGCUUAGGCGUGUGACUGCGUACCUUUUGUAUAAUGGGUCAGCGACUUAUAUUCUGUAGCAAGGUUAACCGAAUAGGGGAGCCGAAGGGAAACCGAGUCUUAACUGGGCGUUAAGUUGCAGGGUAUAGACCCGAAACCCGGUGAUCUAGCCAUGGGCAGGUUGAAGGUUGGGUAACACUAACUGGAGGACCGAACCGACUAAUGUUGAAAAAUUAGCGGAUGACUUGUGGCUGGGGGUGAAAGGCCAAUCAAACCGGGAGAUAGCUGGUUCUCCCCGAAAGCUAUUUAGGUAGCGCCUCGUGAAUUCAUCUCCGGGGGUAGAGCACUGUUUCGGCAAGGGGGUCAUCCCGACUUACCAACCCGAUGCAAACUGCGAAUACCGGAGAAUGUUAUCACGGGAGACACACGGCGGGUGCUAACGUCCGUCGUGAAGAGGGAAACAACCCAGACCGCCAGCUAAGGUCCCAAAGUCAUGGUUAAGUGGGAAACGAUGUGGGAAGGCCCAGACAGCCAGGAUGUUGGCUUAGAAGCAGCCAUCAUUUAAAGAAAGCGUAAUAGCUCACUGGUCGAGUCGGCCUGCGCGGAAGAUGUAACGGGGCUAAACCAUGCACCGAAGCUGCGGCAGCGACGCUUAUGCGUUGUUGGGUAGGGGAGCGUUCUGUAAGCCUGCGAAGGUGUGCUGUGAGGCAUGCUGGAGGUAUCAGAAGUGCGAAUGCUGACAUAAGUAACGAUAAAGCGGGUGAAAAGCCCGCUCGCCGGAAGACCAAGGGUUCCUGUCCAACGUUAAUCGGGGCAGGGUGAGUCGACCCCUAAGGCGAGGCCGAAAGGCGUAGUCGAUGGGAAACAGGUUAAUAUUCCUGUACUUGGUGUUACUGCGAAGGGGGGACGGAGAAGGCUAUGUUGGCCGGGCGACGGUUGUCCCGGUUUAAGCGUGUAGGCUGGUUUUCCAGGCAAAUCCGGAAAACUAAGGCUGAGGCGUGAUGACGAGGCACUACGGUGCUGAAGCAACAAAUGCCCUGCUUCCAGGAAAAGCCUCUAAGCAUCAGGUAACAUCAAAUCGUACCCCAAACCGACACAGGUGGUCAGGUAGAGAAUACCAAGGCGCUUGAGAGAACUCGGGUGAAGGAACUAGGCAAAAUGGUGCCGUAACUUCGGGAGAAGGCACGCUGAUAUGUAGGUGAAGUCCCUCGCGGAUGGAGCUGAAAUCAGUCGAAGAUACCAGCUGGCUGCAACUGUUUAUUAAAAACACAGCACUGUGCAAACACGAAAGUGGACGUAUACGGUGUGACGCCUGCCCGGUGCCGGAAGGUUAAUUGAUGGGGUCAGCGCAAGCGAAGCUCUUGAUCGAAGCCCCGGUAAACGGCGGCCGUAACUAUAACGGUCCUAAGGUAGCGAAAUUCCUUGUCGGGUAAGUUCCGACCUGCACGAAUGGCGUAAUGAUGGCCAGGCUGUCUCCACCCGAGACUCAGUGAAAUUGAACUCGCUGUGAAGAUGCAGUGUACCCGCGGCAAGACGGAAAGACCCCGUGAACCUUUACUAUAGCUUGACACUGAACAUUGAGCCUUGAUGUGUAGGAUAGGUGGGAGGCUUUGAAGUGUGGACGCCAGUCUGCAUGGAGCCGACCUUGAAAUACCACCCUUUAAUGUUUGAUGUUCUAACGUUGACCCGUGAUCCGGGUUGCGGACAGUGUCUGGUGGGUAGUUUGACUGGGGCGGUCUCCUCCUAAAGAGUAACGGAGGAGCACGAAGGUUGGCUAAUCCUGGUCGGACAUCAGGAGGUUAGUGCAAUGGCAUAAGCCAGCUUGACUGCGAGCGUGACGGCGCGAGCAGGUGCGAAAGCAGGUCAUAGUGAUCCGGUGGUUCUGAAUGGAAGGGCCAUCGCUCAACGGAUAAAAGGUACUCCGGGGAUAACAGGCUGAUACCGCCCAAGAGUUCAUAUCGACGGCGGUGUUUGGCACCUCGAUGUCGGCUCAUCACAUCCUGGGGCUGAAGUAGGUCCCAAGGGUAUGGCUGUUCGCCAUUUAAAGUGGUACGCGAGCUGGGUUUAGAACGUCGUGAGACAGUUCGGUCCCUAUCUGCCGUGGGCGCUGGAGAACUGAGGGGGGCUGCUCCUAGUACGAGAGGACCGGAGUGGACGCAUCACUGGUGUUCGGGUUGUCAUGCCAAUGGCACUGCCCGGUAGCUAAAUGCGGAAGAGAUAAGUGCUGAAAGCAUCUAAGCACGAAACUUGCCCCGAGAUGAGUUCUCCCUGACUCCUUGA
rnacentral:rRNA from 1 species